rnacentral:misc_RNA from 1 species
GAUGAAGAACGUAGCGAAAUGCGAUAAGUAGUGUGAAUUGCAGAAUUCAGUGAAUCAUCGAAUCUUUGAACGCACAUUGCGCCUCCUGGUAUUCCGGGAGGCAUGCCUGUUCGAGCGUCAUUAAAAUCACUCAAGCUUAGGUUUACCUAUUGCUUGGUCUUGGAGAUGGAAGCCAAUUUAUUGGAAUCCUCUUCGAAAUUCAAUGGCGAAGACCCUUGCUCUCCCAAGUGUAGUAAUAACUUAUGUCACUGAAGGAAGCGAGAAAUCUUCUGCCGUAACCCCCAUAUUUUCUAUGAUUGACCUCGGAUCAGGUAGGGAUACCCGCUGAACUUAAGCAUAUCAAAGCGGAGGA